rnacentral:rRNA from 1 species
ACUUUUAACAACAGAUCUCUUAGUUCUAGCAUUAAUAAAGAACGCAGCGAAAUGCGAUAAGUAGUGUGAAUUAUAGAAUUUAGUAAAUUAUUAAAUCUUUAAACGCACAUUACGCCCCUUAGUAUUCUAUAGGGCAUGCCUGUUUAAGCGUUAUUUGUACCCUUAAGCUCUACUUAGUGUUAGGUAUUUAUUCUACUUAGGACUUGCCUUAAAACAAUUGGUAGCUAGCAUAUUAGCCUAGAGCGCAGCACAUUUUACGCCUCUUAUUAUAGUUGUUAGCAUCUAUUAAGACACUUUUUAAGCUCUUAACCUUAGAUUAGGUAGGGAUACCCACUAAACUUAAGCAUAUUAAUAAGUGGAGGAAAAGAAACUAAUAGGGAUUGCCCUAGUAACAGCGAGUGAAGCGGCAAUAGCUUAAAUUUGAAAUCUAGCUCUUUUAGGGUCUAAGUUGUAAUUUGCAGAGGGCGCUUUAGCGUUAGUAGUAGUCUAAGUUCCUUAGAAUAGGACGUUAUAGAGGGUAAGAAUCCUAUACGUAGUUGCUAGCCUUUGCUGUGUAAAGCCCCUUUAACAAGUUAAGUUAUUUAGGAAUAUAGCUCUAAAUAGGAGGUAAAUUUCUUCUAAAGCUAAAUACUAGCUAGAGACUAAUAGCGUACAAGUAGAGUAAUUAAAAGAUAAAAAGCACUUUAGAAAGAGAGUUAAAUAGCACGUGAAAUUGUUAAAAGGGAAGCGCUUGCAGCUAGACUUGCCUGUAGUUGCUUAUCUAGGCUUUUAUCUAGUGCACUCUUCUAUAGGCAGGCUAGUAUUAGUUUAGGUAGUUAGAUAAAGGUCUCUAUUACGUACCUCCCUUUAGGGAGGCCUUAUAGGGGAGACGACAUGCAACUAGCCUAGACUAAGGUCCGCGUAUCUGCUAGGAUGCUAGCGUAAUAGCUGUAAGUGGCCUGUCUUAAAAUAUAGACUAAGGAGUCUAAUAUCUAUGCAAGUGUUUAGGUGUUAAGCCUAAACGCGUAAUAAAAGUAAACAGAGGUAGGACCCCUUUUAGGGUGCACUAUUAACUAAUCCUAAUAUCUUUAGAAGGAUUUAAGUAAGAGUAUAGCUAUUAGGACCUAAAAGAUAGUAAACUAUGCUUAAAUAGGGUAAAGCUAGAGGAAACUCUAGUAGAGGCUCACAGCAGUUCUAACGUGCAAAUCAAUUGUUAAAUUUAGGUAUAGGGGCGAAAGACUAAUUAAACUAUCUAGUAGCUAGUUCCUACUAAAGUUUCCCUUAGGAUAGCAGUAACGUAUUUAGUUUUAUAAGGUAAAGCAAAUAAUUAGAGGCCUAGGGGUUAAAAUAACCUUUACCUAUUCUUAAACUUUAAAUAUAUAAGAAGUCCUUAUUACUUAAUUAAAUAUAGACACUUAAAUAUACUAUUACUAGUAGGCUAUUUUUAGUAAGCAGAACUAGCAAUAUAGGAUAAACUAAACGCGGGGUUAAGGUGCUAGAAUACACGCUUAUUAGAUACUAUAAAAGGUGUUAGUUUAUCUAGAUAGUAGGAUAGUAGCUAUAGAAGUUAGAAUCUGCUAAGGAGUGUGUAACAACUUACCUGCUAAAUAAACUAGCCCUAAAAAUAGAUAGCGCUUAAGCGUGUUACCUAUACCCUGCCACUAGGGCAAGAUUUAAGCCCUAGCAAGUAGGCAGGCGUAGAGGCUCGUGACAAAGCCUUAGGGGUAACCCUAGGUAGAACAGCCUCUAGUGCAGAUCUUAGUAGUAGUAGCAAAUACUUAAAUAAGAACUUUAAGGACUAAAGUAGGGAAAGGUUCUAUGUAAACAGCAGUUAGACACAGGUUAGUUAAUCCUAAGAGAUAGGGUAAUUCUAUUUUAAUAUUAGCGCUUACGCUGCGCCCUUAAAAGGGAAGCUAGUUAAUAUUCUAGCACCUAGAUAUAGAUUCUCUGCGGCAACGCAACUAAGAGCAGAGACCUUAGCAGGAGCCCUAAGAAGAGUUCUCUUUUCUUCUUAACAGUCUAUUACCCUAAAAUUAGUUUGUCUAGAGCUAGGGUUUAAUAGCUAGAAGAGCGCUAUACUUUUGCAGCAUUUAGUGCGCUCCUAAUAAGCCUUAAAAAUCCGCUUAAAGAAAUAGUUUUUACGCUAGGUCGUACUUAUAACUAUAGCAGGUCUCUAAGGUAAAAAGCCUCUAGUUAAUAGAAUAAUGUAGAUAAGGGAAGUUAGCAAAAUAGAUCUAUAACUUUAGGAAAAGGAUUAGCUCUAAGGGUUAGGUACGUUAGGCCUUAGGGAGAAGCCUCUAGCGUAGAAGGGCACUAACUGUAAGGUAGGCGCCUCUUAGUGCUAGAGUGCAGACACCCUUAGCAGGUUUUAGCUGUCUAGCGUACGUUUAACAACUAACUUAGAACUAGUAUAGAUAAGGGGAAUCUAACUAUCUAAUUAAAACAUAGCAUUACAAUAGCUAGAAAGUAGUGUUAAUAUAAUAUAAUUUCUGCCUAGUGCUCUAAAUAUUAAAGCAAAGAGAUUUAACCAAGCGCGGGUAAAUAGUAGGAGUAACUAUAACUCUCUUAAGGUAGCUAAAUACCUUGUUAUCUAAUUAGUAACGCGCAUAAAUAGAUUAACAAGAUUCCUACUAUCCCUAUCUACUAUCUAGCGAAACUAUAGCUAAGGGAACAGGCUUAGCUAAAUUAGCAGGGAAAGAAGACCCUAUUAAGCUUAACUCUAGUUUAAUAUUGUGAAAAGACAUAGGGGGUGUAGAAUAGGUAGGAGCUUUAGCGCUAGUAAAAUACUACUACCCUUAUUAUUUUUUUACUUAUUUAAUAAAGCAGAGCUAGGCCUUACUACCUAACUUCUAGCGUUUAAGGUCCUUUAUAGGCUAAUCUAGGUUAAAGAUAUUAUUAGGUAGGGAGUUUAGCUAGGGCGGCACAUCUAUUAAACUAUAACAUAGGUGUCCUAAGGGGGACUUAUAGAGAAUAGAAAUCUCUAGUAGAGUAAAAGGGUAAAAGUCCCCUUAAUUUUAAUUUUUAGUGUGAAUAGAAACUAUAAAAGUGUAGCCUAUUAAUCCUUUAGUGCCUUAAAAUUUAAGGCUAGAGGUGCUAGAAAAGUUACUAUAGGGAUAACUAGCUUGUGGCAGCUAAGCGUUCAUAGCGACGUUGCUUUUUAAUCCUUUAAUAUUAGCUCUUCCUAUUAUAGUAAAGCAGAAUUUAGUAAGCGUUAGAUUAUUCACCUACUAAUAGGGAACGUAAGCUAGGUUUAGACUGUUGUAAGACAGGUUAGUUUUACCCUACUAAUAACCUUACCCUAAUAGUAAUACUACUUAGUACGAGAGGAACCGCGGUUUUAGAUAAUUAGUUUUUGCAGCUAUCUAACUAGGUAUUGCUGCAAAGCUACUAUCUACUAGAUUAUAGCUAAACGCCUCUAAGUUAGAAUCCAUGCUAGAAUAGGGUGAUUUCCGCCUGCACUAGUUAGAUACAAAUAGGCCUUUGGCCUAGAACCUUACUAGAUUGGCGUUAGUAGCCCUAUUAAAGUUAGAGUUGUUAGCUAGUAUAUUGCAAUUAUACAGUGCGUUAGAUUAAAUCCUUUAUAGAUAACUUAGUUGUCUAGCUAGGUCGUGUAAGUAGUUAAGUAGCCUUGUUGUUACGAGCUACUAAGCGUAAGCCCGUUGCUAGCUUAGUUAAAAUUAGGAUAUUAUACCCUCCUUAUUUGCAAAACUACUGCCUAAAUAGCUACUAUUAAUAGAAGGAAGAGGGCCAUAGCUAACAUGUUAUAUAGCAAUUGCAAGAUAGCAAGGGCUAGAGCUAGAAGCAAUCCUUACAAAAUAUACAAAAGAACAGGUUGUGUGUGUACGUACCUUAGGCAGUUAAAUUAUAGCAUAUAAAGAUUAAGAAAGGACAUAAAAUAAUCUAUACAUAUUUGUAGGUGGUGUUCUAUAACUUAGGGCGUUCUAUAACCCUUUAUUUUUUAGGGGUAGUAUUCUAUAACUUAGGGCGUUCUAUACUUAAAAAAUCUUAUAGGCUAUUCUAUAACUAUAGAUUAUUCUAAACCUUUAGGGCAUUCUAUUAAUGUUUUAAAAAAUCUAGUAGGCUAUUUUAUAAGCUUAUAGCGUUCUAUAACUUUAGGGCGUUCUAUAACUUAGGGCGUUCUAUAACUUAGGGCGUUCUAUAACCUUUUACUUCUUAGGGGUAGUGUUCUAUAACUUAGGGCGUUCUAUAACCUUUUAUUUUUUAGGGGUAGUGUUCUAUAACUUAGGGCGUUCUAUAACUUUUUAUUUUUAGGGGUAGUGUUCUAUAACUUAGGGCGUUCUAUAACCUUUUAUUUUUUAGGGGUAGUGUUCUAUAACUUAGGGCGUUCUAUAACUUUUUAUUUUUAGGGGUAGUGUUCUAUAACUUAGGGCGUUCUAUACCUUUUGUUUAUUCUAUUACUUUAGUGCUUUCUAUAACUUUAGACUAUUCUAUAAUAGUAGCUAUUAUAUCCUUUUUAUAAUCCUUAUAGUAUUAUACUAUUAUCUAUUAUUCUUUACUCUUAAGUAUAUCCUUAUAUUUUAUAAAUCUUUUUCUUUACUAGCUAGUCCUACUAUACUUUUUUAUAACCUACUAGUAUUAAAUAAUACCUUUAUAUUCUUCCUCUAUACUAUCUCUAUUUCUUGCCUUAUAUAUUAAGUAGAUAUAGAUAGAGCUAAUAGAUCUAUAGUUAAUAUAGAUAAAGUAGUUAUAGUAGAGUAUAGAUAUUAGAGUAGAGAUCCUUAUCUAUAUAUUUACCUACUACUAAUAGAAUUCUAAGUUGCUCUUAUCUAGCGAAUACGGGUUUAUAGUUUGUAUAGGGCUACGCAUGUCUAUAUGGUUUUACAUAUAAAAAAGUGUACCUCUAAGCUAUUUUCUACUACACUAACCCCGUGACGCGAAAAUUAAACUAAAACCUAUUCCUAUAAUAUAUAAGGAGGGCAAAUAGAUUCUUAAAUACUAAAUACCUAACUAACUAACUAAGGUUAAAUCUGCUGCGCGUAGUUCUUGGAUUAGGCAGUUAAACUAGCGUUAUUAGGCACUAAGGGGGCAAUUUUUGCUCGUGUCCGCGUCUAUACUCCCUAUAACUCCCUAUUAUUAGCGCUCUACGCCUGUUUUAGCGGCAGUUAGACUAAAUUUAAAAGUUUUAGUUUUAUAAUAGCUAGCCUUAUUUCCUAGAUUUCUGCCUAGUUUAAAUUCGCUCUAAUUAGUGGGUAAUUAGGGGCUUAGAGAUUGCUCUUCUACUUAACUAGGUAGGCCUAGGCCUAUAUGCUAAAGCAACCCUGCUAUUGCGCCUAGUUUUGUAGUUAGCACCUAAAGUCCUACUAUUAAAGUUUUAGCAGUAGGCAAAAUUUAGGGUCUGUAGAUAGCUAGCACUGCUAAACUAUUUAAUAGAUCUUAGGGGAUAGCCCUACCUAGCAUCCACUCCUAGUAAGCGUGGUAAAGCGUAGGUUUUCUCUACUUAAGGCAUGUAUGUGGCGAGUUUAAACACGCAGAAACGCCUAUUAGGCUUUAUUAUAGACUAUUCUUUAAGAAACUUAGUAGGGGUAAUUAAAUUAGUUACUAGUUAUAACUAGUGCCUUGUGUGCUAUUAUGCUAGUAGCUAGAAUCGCUUCUGCGAUUUCUUAUUACGUACUUUCCACCUCCUUUUAGGGGUAGUGCUUGUGCGCUUUAGCGUAUUAGGCAUUAGGAUUAUUACCUAGUUAAUUCUGCUAGUAGUUAUAUGCUUGU